rnacentral:rRNA from 1 species
AAACUUUGCAAUGCGGGAAACCGUGACAAGGGAACCCCGAGUGCCCGUAAAUUCGGGCUGUUCCGGUGUACAAAAAGCACCGGGAGAAAGGGCCGGGCAAGACCGGUGCCAGCCGCCGCGGUAAUACCGGCGGCUCGAGUGGUGGCCACUAUUACUGGGCUUAAAGCGUUCGUAGCUGGAUUGUUAAGUCUCUUGGGAAAUCUACCGGCUUAACCGAUAGGCGUUCAAGAGAUACUGGCAAUCUAGGGACCGGGAGAGGUGAGAGGUACUCCAGGGGUAGGAGUGAAAUCCUGUAAUCCUUGGGGGACCACCUGUGGCGAAGGCGUCUCACCAGAACGGCUCCGACAGUGAGGGACGAAAGCUGGGGGAGCAAACCGG